rnacentral:rRNA from 1 species
GGAGGGUGCAAACGUUGCUCGGAAUCAUUGGGCGUAAAGCGCAUGUAGGCGGGUCCGAUAAGUCGGAUGUGAAAGCCCUCGGGCUUAACCGAGGAAGUGCAUUCGAAACUGCCGGACUUGAGUACGGGAGAGGAUCGCGGAAUUCCCGGUGUAGAGGUGAAAUUCGUAGAUAUCGGGAGGAACACCAGCGGCGAAGGCGGCGAUCUGGACCGAUACUGACGCUGAGAUGCGAAAGCGUGGGGAGCAAACAGGAUUAGAUACCCUGGUAGUCCACGCCGUAAACGAUGAGUGCUAGGUGUCGCGGGUAUUGACCCCUGCGGCGCCGUAGCUAACGCGUUAAGCACUCCGCCUGGGGAGUACGGCCGCAAGGCUA